rnacentral:rRNA from 1 species
GUCUUUUUGAUUAUAAUUUAAAGUCUAAUCUGCCCAUUGAAAAUUUUAAAAGGCCGCGGUAUUUUGACUGUGCAAAGGUAGCAUAAUCAAUAGUUUCUUAAUUAGAAGCUGGAAUGAAUGAUUGAAUGAAAUAUUAACUGUCUUAUUUAAAUUUUUAUUGAAUUUAAUUUUUAAGUUAAAAAGCUUAAAUUAUAUUGGAGGACGAGAAGACCCUUUAAAGCUUUAUAUUUGAUUUUAUAUAAUAUUAAAGAAUAUUUUUUUUAUAUAAAAAUAGAUAUUUUAUUGGGGCGAUAGGAAAAUUUAAUUAACUUUUUUUUUAUAGAACAAAAAUUUUUGAAAAAUUGAUCCAUUAUUAAUGAUUAAAAGAUUAAGUUACUUAAGGGAUAACAGCGUAAUAUUUUUUGAGAGAACAUAUCGAAAAAAAAGUUUGCGACCUCGAUGUUGGAUUAAGAUAAUUUUUAGAUGCAGAAGUUUAAAAAUUUGGUCUGUUCGACCAUUUAUUCUUA